ensembl:lncRNA
CCCAUAUGGAAAGGUAAUAUAUUCACAUAUAUGUGAAGCACUGUUAAAUAUAUUGAAUUAUACUAUGGGGCCAUUGAAUGCUUGAAUCUGAUUGGCUGACGAACGUUCUGAGGUGUGACGAGGUGCAUUCGAGGUGCAUUUAAAGUUGAUAAGUUAAUCUUACGGCCGUUUGCUGGACAAACCACUGUUUGAUUUGCAUUAAUUCCCAGUAAAAGAUAUCACGUUAAUUGAUAUGAAGAAUGGAAUAUUGACAUAUUAUUACAGUGCCUUGUAAUGAGUUAUUGAUAUAUACAAUUGACCUAUUUUUCAUCUUCAAUAAUUUUAAUGUAACUGUCACACGAGAUAUAUAUAUUAAUCAUAUUCCUGAUUAAUUAUUAAAAUUCCCUAUAUAUAAUUUGAGCUAACGUUAACGUACUACCCAGUGCGGUUACAGUUCUAUACAUUAUUUUUUUCUCUUUUCUGCAUUUCACCUCUGCUGUAGUUUAUUUAUAAUAAAUCUGACAUUGUAUACUACGUAUUGUUGUCCUAUAUUCCUAUAUUCUCUCAUGCUGAUGACCGUGCAGCAGAGUUGGAGUGGACCUCUUGUUGAAGAACUUCUCCAGGCACUAUGAACCAUCUGACUAGUAAGAAAAACCUCAAACAUUCAGAAGUUUAUCAGAUAUUAAAAAUAUAUGUCAAAUAAAUAUCAAAUAUUUUUUGAGUCCUGUAUGUCUUACAAGGCCAUCCUGUUUAACACUGCACUGAGGACACUACAACCAGAGAGGGCUGUUCGUGAAGACAGAAAAUGGAGAGAUGUUGUGACAACCUGGACAGAAGUCAGCUCCAGAUCAACCCCCAACACCUGACUUCUCACAAUAAUAUAUAUAUAUAUAAAGAGUUCAAUUGCAAAAACCAAUAACUCCAUUUUAAUUUUUUCCAGAAAUCACGUUUUUUAUUGUGCAUUCCAAGUAACAUCAAUCAAACUGCAGUUGGGUUGUUUUGAUUAAGUAAUAAUAACUUAAAUAAAGGUAAUUUACAAAAUUAAAGUUCA